rnacentral:lncRNA from 10 species
ACAGAGCAACAGGUCCCUGGGCCAGGCCCAGAUACCUGAAGUGGUUUUGAAGACUGGGCAGCUAAGACCUAAGUGAAGAAGAAUUCCUCCCCUGCAAGGAUGACCAAGAACCCAGCCGCUCUGUUUCCUUCCCGACUGGAGUCCUCUUCUCCACUUGAACACCCACCUCAUUUCUCCCAGCAUGGAAAGUCAUUCCAGGAAUUCUGUGGGCAGUGGAGAGGCCCUUCCCCUUCCAGCAUGGGAAAGCCAGGCUGGUUGGGAAGCAGCUCAACUCAAGCUGCUGCUGAUACAGGGUUUUUGAGGAUUAUAAUGAAUAAAACAGAACCAGAGAAGUUACGAAGCAUGUGUUUAUCACUCAGCAAUAGAGAAUUUUAAACAGAUCUUCAGGCUCGUGUGGAAAAACCGAU